CUCGCUUCUCGCUCUGUUAUCUGUUUCAUUCUCGUUCUUCUUGGCCAUGGCGUUCUCCACUUAAACGCAUUCGCCAGUCUCAGCAGAAGCAGAAUCCCCAUGGCCUUGGCUCCCAACUUUCAGGUGGAGAUGGAGAGAAGAGAUUUUGAGAGCAAAAUCAGAGGUGGAUUAGUCAGAGCAGCUAUUAACCAAUAUGGAGAUGGAAAAGUAGAUGGUAUUUCAUGGAAGAAAUCACUUCCCAAAGACUCCUCAGAGUCAGAGUAUUCCUCCAAGGCAAGAGAGCUCCAAAAGGCAAAGACAGACAUUGAGCAUAUUAAAGAGAGUAUAAAUGCAGCAGAUUCCUUGAAAGCCCAAGCUCAACUUGAGCUCCUCAACGCCAAAAGCACAGUGAAAAAGCUCUCUUCCCUUUUUGAGAAAUCAAAUGCCACAGUGCAGGCGCAUAAGCGGGAACUUGAAACAUUGAAGAAGUCGGGACGGGUCCAAGAACCGCGGGUGGCUGUUGCAAGCAGUGAGAAUCAUGAGUAUGCAGAGCUGAUGCAGGAAUUGAAAUUUGCAAAACAAGAAUUAAGCAAACUCAAGCUUGAUGUGGCUUCUGUUUUUGAUGAGAAAUUGCAGGCAGAGAAGGAGAAAGAAGAAGCCAUUUCGAAAUUUCAAUCCUUGUCAAGUUCCAUUGAAGAGCUAAGGAAGGAGAUUGAUGAAAUAAAUGAAGAACAAGUACUAGUUGAGUUAGCCCAGAUAGAGGCUUUGAAAGAGUUUCAAGAGAUUGAAGCCCAGAGAAGCAUGGAAGCCAAUGAAUUCUUACGUGCAAUUGAGAACAAGAGGAAACAUAUUAAUGAUCUUGCUCAAGAGGUUGAAGGCUUAAAAGAGCUAGAAAACAAAUUGAGUGUCACAAUGUCAGAUGUAAAUGUGUUGCAGAGGGAACUAAACUUGGUCAAGGAAUUAGGCAUGAAAGCUCAGAGAAAAGUUAUGAUGACAGAAUUGGAAAAUAAACCUCAGGUAGAAGAAGAUGAGCUUUUGUUGCAAUCAAUCACAGAAGAACUCAAGACUGCAAAGAAAGAUUUGGCCUCAAUACGAGAUGAAGGAUUUCAGGUCAUGACUUCGAUGGAUGCCGUACGGAGGGAACUGAAGAAUGUCAAGGAAGAAAUUGCUAAUCUGAAGAAACCCGAUGAAAGAACCGAUUCAAUUGUUCAAAAGCUGAACUCUAAGCUGCUUAGAGCGAAAGCCAAAUUGGAGGCUGUAUCUUCAGCUGAAGAGAAAGCUGAAUCAAUUGCUUCUAAUCUGUCACUCGCUAUAGAUCAAAUGAAGAAAGAAACGGAGGCUGCAAAGAAAGAAAAGGAGCUUACUGAUGAAGAAAUAAAAUAUACCAAAGCAGAGAUCCAAAAGACCGAAUCGGAAAUCGACUUGAAUGAGGAAAGAUUACAAGAUGCCUUGCGAGAGCUUGAAGCAGUGAAGUCUUCUGAGGCCUCGGCGCUCGCAAAAUUGAAGGCACUUACUGAAAGUACAAUGAGAUCUAGAGCUACUGCAACCAAGAAUAGCUCCUUUAUCACUAUCUCUAGUUUCGAACACGAGUAUUUAGCUGGUCAUGCGGUUGCCGCUCAAGAAAUUGCUGACAAAAAGGUUGCAGCUGCUCAAGCUUGGAUUGAAGCCAUUAAAGCAAGUGAAGUUGAAACAAUAAAGAAAUAUGAAUUAGCCGAACUGGAAAUCAACGCGAUGAGAAUGGAAGAAGAGAAACUGGCAUUCAGGGCAAACAGAUCACUCUCUGCAAAAAGAAUGGUGGAGAGAGAGUUGCAGAACUGGAGACAAAAGCGCGAGAAGAACGAAGAAGAAGCUGAAAACUUGCAACCAGCAAAUCGUCAAAAAUCCGUUAGGAGAAAUGGGAGCAUGACACCAUCAAGGCGACUCAAGUUCCGGAUAUCGUCCUCACCAUCACCUCACAUGAUGAAUGGAGCUACCUCAUUUUCAAUGAAGAAGAGAAGGAAGGUUGUGAAAAAUCUUGCCCAGUUCUUCAAUGGCAAGAAAGCCGAAUUGAAUCUUUGAAUUGACUGAAAGCAUCUUUCUGCUGAAUGAGAUUGUUUGUAUCAGAAGCUCCAGGGUCCCAUCAACUUUUGAUUCUGCUUAUUGGAGAAAACUAAAUUCCAGAAUCCAGAUCAAAACAAAUUCUGCCUUGAGAUCUCUGACUCGCUGGCGCUUCCUCCAGCCAAAUGCCCUAGACGACCUCCUCCACCGAUUGCAGCCUCUCCAAUCCCGCCGUACUCAUCUUCAUUCAAAACUUUACACGUUUCCACGAAUGGUGGAAACAAAACAAACUUUGUCUGUUUCUUACAACUUCUUCCACUACAAACAAAUUUUAACCUAAAAAUUCCAGCAAAUUUCGAUCUACAAUCAGCCCAGCAAGAAUCGCCUCCAAUUACGCUGAAAUCACUCCAA